rnacentral:rRNA from 1 species
UACGUAGGGACCAAGCGUUGUUCGGAUUUACUGGGCGUAAAGGGCGCGUAGGCGGCUUAACAAGUCACUUGUGAAAUCUCCGGGCUUAACUCGGAACGGCCAAGUGAAACUGUCAAGCUAGAGUGCAGAAGGGGCAACUGGAAUUCCUGGUGUAGCGGUGAAAUGCGCAGAUAUCAGGAGGAACACCGGUGGCGAAGGCGGAUCUCUGGGCCAUUACUGACGCUGAGGAGCGAAAGCGUGGGGAGCGAACAGG